CUAAGUAUGUGAGGCCCAGUUGUACACUAUUGUGCUUGGACAAAGUCGGCCUGUGGUUUCAUUGAACCUGAUGGGAGACCAGCAACGUGACCACCUGUGUCUCUUAUCAUGUUACAUAUGUGCAUGUGAACACAUGCACGCACAGAGUAAUCUUUAAGUGAGAAUCUAGGUCAGUGUUGCAACCAGGAGUACAGCAGGGCAGGAGUGAAAUCCUGGUGCGAGGAGGAGCGAAACUAACCCAGGUGUGUUUUGAUGGUGGUGGAGAGCACUGUCUAACAAGUCGCUCCAGAAUGUCCCAUGGCUUUUUAACUGGGUUGGAAUCUGAUGACUGCGAAGGCCACAGCAGAGGAGUCACAUCAUCUUCAUACACACUGGUUAAUUUGGUGACCUCCUCAUGCCCUGGGUCAGAGAAGGUAGAGCGAGGUGCGACCGCCUCUCCGCUCGCCGGCUCUCUCUGUUGAUUCAUAGAUUGAGCUCAGAAUCGGGGCCUGAACAAGAGCCAGGGGCCAGUGUUAGUAAACUGUGGAGAGACCAAGGGAAGUACCUCAUCCGACACACACACACACACAGCUGAGGGUUCACACUGUGUGAAUGUGCAAUGAGUGUGUAUGUGCAAUGCAAAAGAUUCUACUUCUACAUUGCUCAUACACGCGCACAUGCACACACGCCGUGCGCUGAAGAGCCACAAGCACUGGUGGUAAACACUCAGGCCUCUCACAAGAUGCUCUGUAAAUAUUUACAGCUCGGCAGGCGUUGAAGGGAGAGGAACAUGGCAGACCGUGCAGCGCCGGGCCGAACGUGACCGGCCUCAGCCAACUCCCUCCACCCCACGCAUCUCCACCUCCUCCAACCCCCAUCGCCGCUGACCAUCACCGGACUUCAAAUCCACUGGGCAAACAACAUAACCUUAUUCGGCAUCUGUGCGCUGUGGCUUUACCUUGGCUUACCUUGCGGCAGCUGGAGGGGGGGGGGUCACCUCAGCUGAGCAUGGGGCCCAGAGGCUGCUUCCUGAAAAUAAAGUGAAGAUUAUGUUUUUAGCUCCUCACAAUAAAAGAGACGGUGGUAAA